AGUGAACGCUGGCGGUAGGCCUAACACAUGCAAGUCGAACGGCAGCACAGUAAGAUCUUGCUCUUACGGGUGGCGAGUGGCGGACGGGUGAGGAAUACAUCGGAAUCUACUUUUUCGUGGGGGAUAACGUAGGGAAACUUACGCUAAUACCGCAUACGACCUACGGUUGAAAGCAGGGGAUCUUCGGACCUUGCGCGGUUGAAUGAGCCGAUUUGGGAUUUGCUAGUUGGGGGGGUAAAGGCCCACCAAGUCGACGAUCCGUAGCUGGUCUGAGAGGCUGGUCAGCCACACUGGAGCGGAGACACGGUCCAGGCUCCUACGGGAGGCAGCAGUGGGGAAUAUUAGACAAUGGGCGCAAGCAUGAUCCAGCCAUCCCGCGUGGGUGAAGAAGGCCUUCGGGUUGUAAGGCCCUUUUGUUGGGAAAGAAAAGCAGCAGGUUAAUACCACGCUGUUCUGACGGUACCCAAAGAAUAAGCACCGGCUAACUUCGUG
rnacentral:rRNA from 1 species